CCCUUAGAUGUUCUGGGCCGCACGCGCGCUACACUGAUACAAUCAACAAGUUGUCUCCUGAAUCGAAAGAUUUGGGUAAUCUUGGGAAAUUGUAUCGUGAUAGGGCUUGACGAUUGUAACUAUUUGUCACAAACGAGGAAUUCCUAGUAAGCGCAAGUCAUCAACUUGCACUGAUUACGUCCCUGCCCUUUGUACACACCGCCCGUCGCUCCUACCGAUUGAAUGGUCCGGUGAAAUCUCGGGACGGCGGCUUGGUCGCUUGCGUCCGACUGCUGAAACUUGAUUAAACCAUAUCAUUUAGAGGAAGGUGAAGUCGUAACA
rnacentral:rRNA from 1 species